AGAAACUCCAACUGAAUGAAAAGCUGCUGGAGAAGAGAGAAGAAGUAGACAUUUUGCAGUCUAAACUAGACAGGGAGAUGAAGAAGUAUUCUAAGGACCUCAAGGAAGCACAAACUGCCAUUUUCCACUAUGACAGGCAGCUAGAGAACAUACGAAAGGUUCUUGAAAAACACCAAUACUUGCUUAUAGGAAGGCCUGACCUUCAGAAAGUAAUGAGUGAGCUUAAUGGUGAAAAUCAC